UAUUAGGUAAAUAGAUGAGUGGAGUAGGUUUUGGUCGACCUGCUUUGCAUCCCUAACUACAAUAGCUCGAAAUUGGUAGGUUGUAACAUCAGCAAUGAAACAAUGUAUUGAAUGAAGCUUAGGACUAGCCCAAGAGCUCCCAAAAUUCAGCCAGCCAAGCAGGAGGUAGGAUUCGAGUGUAUAGCAGUAAUCAGCAAAUCAGCAAAGGUACGGAAAAGGCCGAAAUUUGUAAGAGCAGGAGGUUUUACUUUGGAAGGAUCGCCGGCGGCGUGGGCGACGACGUAGUCCCAGAACCAGGCGCAGAUAGCGCGGUCCACGCAGUGCGCCGCCAUCUGCUUCUCCACCAUCACCUCCCUGCCAAAACCCCAUCCCGGAUCGCAUCAAGCUCAGCGCCGGAUCCAACGAGGGGGGCUAGGAAUCGAAGCGGUGACUGUUAGCAGCCAGAGAAAUUGGGUGACUGUAGAGCCAAGGUUACCCGGAAUCGGAGAGGAGAAAGAUGCACUGCAGCAUUUUGCCGCCCUUCGCCGUUUGUCGAGGUGACCGGCGGACCGGGGGAUACGACGACGGGCAGAUGAGGAAAGGCAGAAGUGAAUGAGGGGGGAAGGCCAGCAGGGGCGGAGUGCAAAUUGCUUGUGUUUAUUCAACACCAUUACACCAAUCCACCGUUCAGCAAUCAGCGUGCGCUGUACCAUGGACAGCUUAUUACGCAACCAAAGACAGAAAACAGGUGGUAGCGUGUGGCCCAAUCCUGUACCUGCUCUUUGAUCCCAACUCCCAACUGUGAACAAUAUUCAGUCGACGCAAUGGUCAUCGUUGUUUUUGUUUUAAGUUCCACUUUUACUUUGAUAAUUUGGAGGACAACAAAAUCUUUGAUAAUUAGAUUCCAGUUCAUCAGUUA